AUGACGAUGGAGAUGCUGAGGAUCAGGAUGAUGACGAUGAUGCAAAUGAUGAAGAUUUCUCAGGUGAAGAAGGGGGAGAUGACGAAGAAGAAGAAGGAGAUCCUGAGGAGGAUCCUGCAGCUAAUGGCAACGAAGGGAGUGAUGACGAUGAUGAGGAUGAUGAGGAUGGUGAUGAAGGGGGUGAUGACGACGACGAUGAUGAUGAUGGUGAUGAGGAAGAGGAAGAAGACGAGGAGGAAGACGAGGAUCAACCACCUGCCAAAAAGAGAAAGUGAAGUGUUUGUUAGAUGUUUAUAUUCUGCUUCUCUAUCAUGGUUGAGGAGAGUAUGUAGUGGAAAGAGAAGGGGAGG
rnacentral:lncRNA from 1 species